rnacentral:rRNA from 1 species
AGCGAACGCUGGCGGCAGGCCUAACACAUGCAAGUCGAACGAACCUUUCGGGGUUAGUGGCGGCUGGGUGAGUAACACGUGGGAACGUUCCUUUAGGUUCGGAAUAACUCAGGGAAACUUGUGCUAAUACCGAAUGUGCCCUUCUGGGGAAAGAUUAAUCGCCUUUAGUGCGGCCCGCGUCUGAUUAGCUAGUUGGUUGAGGUAUUGGCUCACCAAGGCGACGAUCAGUAGCUGGUCUGAGAGGAUGAUCCGACACAUUGGGACUGAGACACGGCCGAAACUCCUACGGGAGGCAGCAGUGGGAAAUCUAGCGAAAUGGGCGAAAGCCUGACGCAGCCAGGACGCGUGAAUGAUGAAGGUAUUAGGAUUGUAAAAUUCUUUCAACGGGGACGAUAAUGACGGUACCCGGAGAAGAAGCCCCGGCUAACUUCGUG